GGAGAAGCAGGCUGCAUGUUGAAUAGGGAGCCUGACGUGGGCUCGAUCCCAGGACCUGCAGAUCAUGUCCUGAGCUGAAGGCAGAUGCUUAACCGACUGAGCCACCCAGGCAUCCCUUAGACAAAGACUUUAAAUCAGCUCUUUAAAUACAAAGAACUAAAGGAAACCACAUAUUAAGAGCUAAAACAAAGUAGGAGAAUGAUGUCACACUAAAUAAAAAAUAUCGAGAUAGAUAGAAAUUAUUUAAAAAUCAAGUAGGGGGCGCCUGGGUUGCUCUGUCAGCUAAGCGUCUAACUCUUGGUUUCGGCUGAAGUCAUGACCUUCGGGUUGUGGGAAGGGGCACAGCAUCAGGCUCCAUGCUCAGCGCAGUCUGCUUGGGAUUCUCUCCCCCCCCCCUUCCCCCGCUCGCUCAUUCACUCUCUCUGAAUAAAGUCUUUAAAAAAAAUAAAAUAAAAAGCAAAUAGAAAUUCUGAAAGUGAACAAUAUAACUGAGACUUAAAAUUCACUAGAAACAAGGCUCAGCGUUGUGCAGCAGGCAGAAGAAGGUCCAGCAAACGUGCAGAAAGGUCAACUGCAAAUGUCCAGUGUGUGUAGGAGAAAGUCAAGGGAGGAGGAAAAAUGAACAGAGCAGAGCCUCAGCGACUUGUGAGACACCAACACGUGCACCAACACUCAUAUACAGAGUGCUGGAAGGAGAGGAGGGAGGAAGGGGCAGAAAGAAAUUUAAAGAAAUAAUGGUCAAAACUUCACCAAAUUUCUUGAAAACUUCCCCAAGACGUGCAUUAGUCUGCACACCCAAGCAGCUCAAUAAACUCCAGUAGGACAAACUCAAAGCACUCCACACCCACAGACACAUCACAGCUGAACCGUCCAAAGCCAAGUCAAGUCUUGAAAGCACAAGAGCAAAUGACCCUGAGCCCAAAGAAGCCUCUCCUCAGAAACUAGCGGACUUCUCAGAGACCACAGGGGCCGGAAGGCAACUGGAGGACAUACGUAAAAAGUGCUGAAAGAGCAAGUCUACAAACCAAGACCUCUACAUCCAGUAAAACUAGUCUUCAAAAAUGGAGAAAUUAAGACAUUCCCAGAUAAGCAACAACUUAACAGGACUUGUCACAGCAGAUCUGCCCUACAAGGACCACAGAGGGUUCUUCAGGCUGAAAUGGAAGGACACCACGCAGUGACCUGAAUCCACGCAAAGAUGACCCGUAAAGGGAACGACAUGGCUAACAUAGGACUGAAGGCAAAAUCUCCUCCCUCCUCGGCCUCUCAAGAGCUCCUUGUGACGUCCUUGUACUAUCUUCAUACUAUGACAAAACACAGCUGAUGUACACAGUCUAUUUAUUUGAGAGAGCAGAGUGAGUAAGAGAGAACACAAGUGGAGCGGGCAGUGGCAGAGGGAGAGGCAGAAGCAGGCUCCUGAGCAGGGAGUCGAACGUGGGGCUCGAUCUCAGGACCCUGGGAUCAUGAACUGAGCCGAAGGCAGACACUGAACCACCCAGGUGCCCCACUGUGUUCAGAUCUCUAAUAAAUAUUUAUAUGGAUCUUACUG